rnacentral:tRNA from 1 species
GAAAGUCUAGGUUAUUAGACUACGAGUUUUCAAGACUUGAGGAGCUUUAAGCGGCUUUCG